GACGCACGCUGCCGGCGUGCUUAACACAUGCAAGUCGAACGGAAAGGCCCUGCUUGCAGGGUACUCGAGUGGCGAACGGGUGAGUAACACGUGGGUGAUCUGCCCUGCACUUCGGGAUAAGCCUGGGAAACUGGGUCUAAUACCGGAUAGGAGCCAUUUUUAGUGUGAUGGUUGGAAAGUUUUUUCGGUGUAGGAUGAGCUCGCGGCCUAUCAGCUUGUUGGUGGGGUAAUGGCCUACCAAGGCGGCGACGGGUAGCCGGCCUGAGAGGGUGGACGGCCACAUUGGGACUGAGAUACGGCCCAGACUCCUACGGGAGGCAGCAGUGGGGAAUAUUGCACAAUGGGCGCAAGCCUGAUGCAGCGACGCCGCGUGGGGGAUGACGGCCUUCGGGUUGUAAACUCCUUUCGCUAGGGACGAAGCUUUUUGUGACGGUACCUAGAUAAGAAGCACCGGCUAACUACGUGCCAGCAGCCGCGG
rnacentral:rRNA from 1 species